ensembl:lncRNA
AGAGAACAGUACCAGACCAGUGUGGUCAUAUUUGAGCUUUGAGCAGUGCUGUAAGGAAUGCCAGGAUGAUGCCUCCUGAGGAUGUCCUAGAUGAGGAGACUGGGCGACGCUGCAGCAGCCAGGAGCACAGCUCUCCGGUUACAGUACCUGUCCAUAAAACCAGGCCUCUCGUCCCACUCUUUCCCCUCCAGAGGCCCCCCAAGGUCCCUCGGCACGCCCACAAACCGCACAGGCGACGAAAGCUGCGGCUAUGGGGCCACAACCCCACAAACAAGGGGUAAACAAGGGGAUCUUUUUGAUGUCUGCUGCCCAACAUUGAGGGUCAGAGAUCCAAAUAGGAUUGGGUGCUGCUGGGUAGUACAGGUGGUUGAGUAGGGGUGUCAGGUGGUGGUGGCAAAUGAAGACACCCCAGAGUGAGCUGGGCUCCUAAAAGCAACGACCAGAAUGCAAGGACCAUCCCAUUUAUUGGUUUAUGUUAUUAGUGCAUACCAAAUACUGUUAUAAUCGUUUAGUAUUUCUAUGUACAUUGAUGAUAAUAAUAAUGAUAGAAACAGUAUUGGUAGUUAAAAUUAUAUCAUGUAUAAGCAGGCAAUGUGUUUUUUUACCCAGACCCUGGUUGUCAACCUUGUACCCACCACGGCACACCACCCAGUUGAUCUCCUCGUUAAAAUAUCUUGCAUACCGUAUGACAUUCAGGAGCCGAUGAAGGACUCUGAGAGAGCAGAGCGAAGGACAGUUUAUGGCGGAUUUCUUUACUGCACAGUUUGGCACACCCCCUUUUUUUUGUUUUUUACUGGGAUAGGAGAAGGCUUAACAGUUCAGAAACUAGUAAUAAGCGCCAUGUGAACUAUACAGGUCCUUAAAAUGAGCUCUCAGAUGCUGUUUACAAGACCAGUACCUUUUAAGAGUCUGUCUUUUCCAACGGCGGGAAGUCAAAUUGCCCUGCUCUUAAUUAUUGUCAGGGUGCAUGAUUUUUUAUGAGGACCAGUCACAAUGCGAUACACCCACCCAUUUUAUUUUGACUCUUAUUAAAAGAGAGCGGUUGGUUCAGUACAUUUAUUUAUUUAUUUAGGUUGUCAUUUAUGUAUUUGUUUGUUUAUUUGUUUAUUUAUGUUUUUGUUUAUGUAUAUGCAUAUGAGGUUGACUUUUGGGCACAUUGAAAACAUGAAUGUGGCUUUGCGGUUUAGCAGCCUCUAGCUAGCACUGCUUGCUAUGAGGUGUGAGCUUUGGCAGUGUGGGUGAGCAUGGUGCUCCGUAGACCAGUAGCCAGUAGGUGGUGGUAGUAACACUAGUAUGAAUCAGACUCCUGUAUUGGCCAAUGAUGUGUAUGUCUAGGAUCUUGGCUCAGUAACCAGGGGAAGGGAGAUGGGGAGAAAUGGAAGGAGGGGCCUUUGGUGCACUGUGCUUCCUGUUAGUAGGCACUGGGGAACUCAGGCAUUUACAGAAAUGACAUGCUGCUGACACUGAGCAGCUCAGUAUAGCUGGAUCUUAUUGUAAAAGCUUGGCUAGCAAUGUGUUUGACUUGAAGCACAAUUUACAAUCAAUGUAGAAAGCCGUCCCAAUGAAACCAUAUGUUUGAUGGAACCAUACAUUAUUAUUACAAGGAUUUAUAGUCAAUGCAGUACAUCCCACUCAAAUCUGGAUGUUUGGAGAAAACAUUUCAAUAUUGUGAAUGGAAAUUCAGUUAAACUUGGCAUUAGCAGGGCACUGUUUAGUCAGAGACGGUCAGUGUUUAGUCAGAGACGGUCAGUGUUUAGUCGGGGACGGUCAGUGUUUAGUCGCGGACGGUCAGUGUUUAGUCAGAGACGGUCAGUGUUUAGUCGGGGACGGUCAGUGUUUAGUCGGGGACUGUCAGUGUUUAGUCGGGGACUGUCAGUGUUUAGUCGGGGACUGUCAGUGUUUAGUCGGGGACUGUCAGUGUUUAGUCGGGGACGGUCAGUGUUUAGUCGGGGACGGUCAGUGUUUAGUCGGGGACUGUCCGUGUUUAGUCGGGGACUGUCCGUGUUUAGUCGGGGACGGUCCGUGUUUCGUCUGGGACGGUCCGUGUUUCGUCGGGGACUGUCAGUGUUUAGUCGGGGACUGUCAGUGUUUAGUCGGGGACUGUCAGUGUUUAGUCGGGGACUGUCAGUGUUUAGUCGGGGACUGUCAGUGUUUAGUCGGGGACUGUCAGUGU